rnacentral:tRNA from 2 species
GCGGGUGUAGCUCAGUGGCAGAGCAAGGGCCUUCCAGGCCCGAGACGCGGGUUCGAUUCCUGGCCAUCCGCACCA